AUUGAACGCUAGCGGGAUGCCUUACACAUGCAAGUCGAACGGAGUGGCGAACGGGUGAGUAAUGUAUCGGAACGUGCCCAGUAGCGGGGGAUAACUACGCCAACGCGUAGCUAAUAGCGCUUACUAUUGGCGCGGCCGAUAGCGGAUUGGCUAGUUGGUGGGGUAACGGCUAACCAAGGCGACGAUCCGUAGCCGGUUUGAGAGGACGACCAGCCACACUGGAACUGAGACACGUCCCAGACUCCUACGGGAGGCAGCAGUGGGGAAUUUUGGACAAUGGGGGAAAGCCUGAGCCAGCCAUCCCGCGUGUGCGAUGAAGGCCUUCGGGUUGUAAAGCACUUUUGGCGGGAAAGCGGUACCUGCAGAAUAAGCACCGGCUAACUACGUGCCAGCAGCCGCGGUAAUUC
rnacentral:rRNA from 1 species